GCCUACGGGACGCAGCAGUGAGGAAUAUUGGUCAAUGGUCGGGAGACUGAACCAGCCAAGCCGCGUGAGGGAUGAAGGUACAGAGUAUCGUAAACCUCUUUUGUCAGGGAACAAAGGCGGGGACGUGUCCCCGGAUGAGUGUACCUGAAGAAAAAGCAUCGGCUAACUCCGUGCCAGCAGCCGCGGUAAUACGGAGGAUGCGAGCGUUAUCCGGAUUUAUUGGGUUUAAAGGGUGCGCAGGCGGUCUGUUAAGUCAGCGGUCAAAGCCCGGGGCUCAACCCCGGCCCGCCGUUGGAACUGGCAGU
rnacentral:rRNA from 1 species